AGGAAAGCAACAUUUUAUUGGACCCUGAGCAAAGUAACAGUUCAGAUGAGGAAUCUGAGGACCUCAUUAACCUCGAGAAUGCUGAGUGGAACAAAGAUGUACAUCCUGAGACUGCCCCUAUGGAUCCGUUAAACUUGGACGAUGGAGAUGAGCCUAUAUAUCCAGGAAGUGAUGUCACCAAGGCUGAGACUAUUUUGAAGAUUCUUACAUUUGUCCUGCGUCACAAAAUAAGCGGAGAGGGUUUGAAAGACUUCCUGUCACUACUGCACAUCUUAUUUCCAAGCAUCCUGCCAGCAACAAAAUACUUAUUUGAUAAGUACUUUAUAUCCAUUACAAACCAAUUUGAAAUUCACUUUUACUGUGAGUCCUGCAAAGGAUACAUUUGUAAGGAAGAGACAAAUCUCACCAAAUGUCCUCACUGUGAUCUGGCAUUCAGCAUUGCAUCUAACCUUAAAAAUGGGUCCUUCAUGAUCUAUUUGCCUUUGUCUUCCUCACUUAAAGAUGUCCUGGAAAGUCUAAAAAACAACUCGCAACAUCUCAUUAACAAAGCUGAAUGGGUAUGGGACGACACAAUUCGUGAUAUUUUUGAUGGUGACAUCAUGAGAGAUCAUAUUCAGAACAACACAAUUGGCCAGUGGGAUUUGACAUUACUAUGGAAUUGUGACGGAAUUCCGGUUUUUGAAUCAUCUCAAUGUUCUCUCUGGCCAAUACAAGUAACUAUUAAUGAGCUGCCACCAGCUGUGAGAAAAGAACAUGUCCUAUUGUCCUCACUUUGGUUCGGCAAGUCCAAGCCAGUCAUUCAGACCUUUUUAAAACCAUUUGUUGAAGAGAUGGGAGCU